CAAUCCCCAGGCCAUUUUUAAGGACCCGUUCAGGAGGGGUGACAACCUCCUUGUUAUGUGCGACUGCUACACACCACAAGGUGUUCCAAUCCCCACCAACAAGAGGCACAAUGCUGCCAAGAUCUUCAACACCUCAAAGGUUGCAGCUGAGGAGACAUGGUAUGGAAUUGAGCAGGAGUACACUCUCCUCCAGAAGGAUGUGAACUGGCCCCUUGGCUGGCCCGUUGGUGGCUACCCUGGUCCUCGGGCAC